UGUACCCUCCCAUAACGUCCAUACCUUAGAUAGGAUUUGGGGGUUUCUGUUUUGGGCAGUAUCUCGCUGUCGACGCCUCGACGGCGACAGCGCGGCGCCUCCGAGAUGGGCUUUCCUUUCAGCACAAGGAGCUGGGUUGACAGUAUGUUUGAAGAGUAUGUUGCUUGUCGAGAGGGCCUCAUCAAAGCAUUUGAUUCAGAUCUGGAGACACUUGUAGAGGAAAGCAAGAAGGUAGGGGAAGACACACCACGUGAGUUAAUAUUUUUAAUUAGCCAGUAUGGUUCCAAACUGGAGAAGUUUGAAAGUUGAGCCACUGACGUACUAUAAUCUCUGAGAUGAACAAAGGAAGUUCCUAUGGGGCCUGGAGGACAAAAGUUGGGAGCUGCUAUGUGCUGUGUAUGGUGAAUCUGAACCACAGCCUCAGCCCCUGUUGGCUUUUGAGGAAGGCCUGCAGCUUGACAAAUGGGUUAGUCAAGUUGCAGACUAUAGCGAUGCCUGGCAUGCUGGUUUCUUAGCCUACAAAUCGUUGUCUUUAAGCAAGCAAGAAAGGAUUGAGCUCAUGGUCAAGAUGAAUGCGCUACCAGGAUUGAAGUAUGUGAUCAGUCUUAAGGACCUGAAACCCGGUCAGUGGGUGCCCGAGUGAAAGUGAAUGCACUGUGGACUACCAGGUUUGAAUUCAGUGAAAGCCAGAGGUGACUGAGAAUGAAGUGGACCUAGGUCUUGCAAUCGGUGGUUUCAAACCUUUUUUUUUCUUCAGAGAAUUAGCAAAGCUCUGCCUCUUGUGAUGAAGUUAGUCUUGCGUGUCAUUCAUUUGAGCAGAAAACCUGCAAGUUUAUACAUUUAUUCACUAGUUCAAAUUAUGGAAGCAUUCAUGGAGUUGUGCCCAUCCGUUGACAGUGACAACCUGAAAGCAAUCCAGAUAGACUAUAUAUGUGACUAAUUUCUUUUCUGUCUAGCAUCUGUUGCACUUCCAACUUACAAGUUCUUCUGGUUCAUUUGUGGUUUCUGUAAACAAAAUUUGGCUUGUUUUUACUUGGCUUGUAGCAGGUGUCCUGAUGGAAAGGCAUGGAACCCUGGAGUCAUGCAGACAUAUAUGCGGUCACAAUCUUGCCCAUCUAAUUAAUAUUCAGCAUUUGCUAAUGCGCGCUAACACCUAGUUGCGUGGACAGAUAACAAAGGUCUACCUUCUAAACCUUCACUUGUUGCCUGAUGGACCUGCUAAUUUAGACAGAGCAUAUUGCAUCAGAUGGCCCACACGCGCCCAUAAAUUGGGUAGGGCUGCUGGUGGAGGGGUCCUUCUCCAUCUCCAAGCACAAAGGUCCAUUUCUUCACACAUCAUGCAGGUUCCCGUUCACAGCAAUGGGCUCUUUGCUGGGCAACAGAGGAAACUUGUGCAAGAAUCAGGAAAGGUUGUGUGGAUGCAAUUGACCUCCAUUACAUUCAUGUGGUCCAUCUCCUGGCUAAAGGAUGUCAAGUGCAGUGCAACUGUCAGGAGGUGAAAUCAUGGAGUGUGUGUAUGUUGAGGUGUCCUGUAGAAACCAUCGGAAUGGAAGGCAGCAGUCAAGGGCAGCGAUCUGGUCCGUCCAACAUGAUCUAUCCUACCGUUCAGAUUUUUACCACUUAUAUAUAUGCUUGAGAAGUUGUGAAUUGUUGUCACUGCCUGUUGUAGACAUGUUUUUUUUUCCUUGCAAGAAAGAAAAAUAAUACCGGCACAGGGUUCUGGAAGCUGGGUAAAUCAAUAGGUUUUGUAGCUGCAUGAUGAUGAAACUGGAGCAUGCAUCUUCUUCUGUCGAAAUCAAGUGUUUGGAACGAUUCUCAUGGA